rnacentral:rRNA from 1 species
UACGUAGGGUGCAAGCGUUGUUCGGAAUUACUGGGCGUAAAGGGUUUGUAGGUGGCCAACUAAGUCAGACGUGAAAUCCCUCAGCUUAACUGGGGAACUGCGUCUGAUACUGGUUGGCUUGAGUGCAGGAGAGGAACGCGGAAUUCCAGGUGUAGCGGUGAAAUGCGUAGAUAUCUGGAGGAACACCGGUGGCGAAGGCGGCGUUCUGGACUGCAACUGACACUGAGAAACGAAAGCCAGGGUAGCAAACGGG